GGGCCCGCACAAGCGGUGGAGCAUGUGGUUUAAUUCGAUGAUACGCGAGGAACCUUACCAGGGCUUAAAUGCAGAACGACAGAGGUGGAAACACCUCCUUCUUCGGACGGUCUGCAAGGUGCUGCAUGGUUGUCGUCAGCUCGUGCUGUGAAGUGUCGGGUUAAGUCCCAUAACGAGCGCAACCCCUAUUUCUAGUUGCCAGCGGUUCGGCCGGGGACUCUAGAGAAACUGCCAGCGUAAGCUGUGAGGAAGGUGGGGAUGACGUCAAAUCAUCACGGCCCUUACGUCCUGGGCUACACACGUGCUACAAUGGUAGGGACAGAGAGUUGCCAACCCGCGAGGGUGAGCUAAUCUUCAAACCCUAUCUCAGUUCGGAUUGUCGUCUGCAACUCGACGGCAUGAAGUCGGAAUCGCUAGUAAUCGC
rnacentral:rRNA from 1 species